rnacentral:tRNA from 1 species
GUGCUUGUAGCUCAGUCGGCAGAGCACUUGACUUUUAAUCAAGUUGUCGAGGGUUCGAUUCCCUCCAAGCACA